GAUGAACGCUAGCGGCAGGCCUAACACAUGCAAGUCGAGGGGUAGAACACUUCGGUGUUUGAGACCGGCGCACGGGUGCGUAACGCGUAUGCAAUCUACCUUGUACAGGGGAAUAGCCCAGAGAAAUUUGGAUUAAUGCCCCAUAGUAUAUAACCUUCGCAUGUUGGUUAUAUUAAAGUUCCAACGGUACAAGAUGAGCAUGCGUCCCAUUAGUUAGUUGGUAAGGUAACGGCUUACCAAGACGAUGAUGGGUAGGGGUCCUGAGAGGGAGAUCCCCCACACUGGUACUGAGACCCGGACCAGACUCCUACGGGAGGCAGCAGUGAGGAAUAUUGGUCAAUGGUCGCAAGACUGAACCAGCCAUGCCGCGUGCAGGAAGACGGUCCUAUGGAUUGUAAACUGCUUUUAUACAGGAAGAAACCCUCCCACGUGUGGGAGCUUGACGGUACUGUAGGAAUAAGGAUCGGCUAACUCCGUGCCAGCCGCCGCGGUAA
rnacentral:rRNA from 1 species